rnacentral:rRNA from 1 species
UACGGAAGGCAGCAGUGGGGAAUAUUGCACAAUGGGCGCAAGCCUGAUGCAGCCAUGCCGCGUGUAUGAAAAAGGCCUUCGGGUUGUAAAGUACUUUCAGUCGUGAGGAAGGUGUUAAGGUUAAUAACCUUAGCAAUUGACGUUAGCGACAGAAGAAGCACCGGCUAACUCCGUGCCAGCAGCCGCGGUAAUACGGAGGGUGCGAGCGUUAAUCGGAAUUACUGGGCGUAAAGGGCACGCAGGCGGUUAAUUAAGUUGGAUGUGAAAUCCCCGGGCUUAACCUGGGAAUGGCAUUCAAGACUGGUUAGCUAGAGUCUUGUAGAGGGGGUUAGAAUUCCAUGUGUAGCGGUGAAAUGCGUAGAGAUGUGGAGGAAUACCGGUGGCGAAGGCGGCCCCUGGACAAAGACUGACGCUCGAUGUGCGAAAGCGUGGGGAGCAAACGAGGAUUAGAUACCCG